rnacentral:rRNA from 1 species
AGUGAACGCUGGCGGUAGGCCUAACACAUGCAAGUCGAACGGCAGCACAGUAAGCUCUUGCUCUUACGGGUGGCGAGUAGCGGUCGGGUGAGGAAUACAUCGCAAUCUACUUUUUCGUGGGGGUUAACGUAGGUACACUAACGCUAAUACCCCAUACGACCUACGCUUAUUAGCAGUGGAUCUUCGGACCUUGCGCGUUCGAUCUAUCCGCUGAUGGGUUAGCUAGCUGGCGGGGUAAAGGCCCAUCGAGGCGACGAUCCGUAGCUGGUCUGAGAGGAGAGUCAGCCACACUGGAACUGAAACACGGUCCAGACUCCUACGGGAGGCAGCAGUGGGGAAUGUUGGACUAGGGGCGCGAGCCUAGUCCAGCCAUACCGCGUGGGUGAAAAAAGCAUUCGGGUUGUGAAGCUCUUUUGUUGGGAAAGAAAAGCAGCAGGUUAAAACCGCGCUGUUAUGACGGUACCCAAAGAAUAAGCACCGGCUAACUUCGUG